CCCCGCCCCUCCCCCCAGCUUCCGCGCCCCGCCCCCCAGCGCGGCGAAGGAGACUUCGGGGUCGCAGCGCCACGCGGGGACGCCCCGAGCAGGUUCUCGUCGCUGCCAUGGCAUUCCGCGACGCGUGGAAGCGGUACCGCGUGCUCAUCGUGAUGGGCGCUGGCCUCGUGUCAGUCCACUUCGGCUGGUACCGUCUGCAGGACAACCCCGCGUUCCGGGGGUACGGCGUCAAGGACGGCCCGCAGCCACGCGGCCUCACAGAGCACCCGAGCGGUGUGGGCGGCCUGCCCUCGGCGAAGCCGUCCACCUAGCGGAGGCGGCAGAGCGACGUCCACCCGACGUCCACCCGCGUCGGUACGGCAACCGACACCGCCCACGAGGGGCUUUGAAGCGCGCCCGAGGGUCGUGGUGGCGGUGGUGAGGAAAAACGUGGAGCGGAGCGACCCGAGGGGGAACUGGAGCGGGGAGCUGUCGGCAAAACCUGGACUGCUGUAGCGCAGGAGGGAAGGCUCGGAGCGGCGUUCAUCUUGCGGCGGACCAGGCGGUGGAGAGGAUGUGGAGACGUGACGCUCCCACACAAGUGGGGACGCCUCUCCGGGUUAAGACUUUUGUUGUUUCAACCGGAAACAAUCUGCGCUGCAACACUGCGUACUCGUGGGCUCUCCGUGGCUGGCUUUUUCAUGACUUUGGGGUGACAUUCUUGUAAAGGCUUCCUAAACGUUGUUUUGAUGCCAUCUAAAGUAAUCCAGCCGUGUUGACUUGUUGGCCUAUAACAAGGCUGCGCGCACUACAGCGGCGGUAUGGUGAUGUUACGUGGCGUGCAAGGUAUGAUGGGAAGACUAAUUCUAUUUAUUGGUCGCACUCGCACCUUUUGCCAUCUACAAAUCGCCUUUUGCGUGUACUAUUAUCACUUUUCCGACGUUGGAUUAUAAGAUGUGGUUUAUAUUGGGUUGCAGCCGCCCUUUUAAAGCAUCCAGAAACAAAUAUUCGUGGGUGUUGGUCAUUUUUUUUUAUAUUUGCUCUAUGAUAUUUUGAGGGAUUGGCACAGAAACUGAAAAAUAUAGGUUGGUGAAUUUCCAAAUCUGCGGUCGUGUUUGGAUUCCAGUCCCCUUUCCAACCUCUCGACAUUGUUGUUGGCCGAGGUUCAAAGAAAGUUCACCGUUUCUAACCCCCACUUUCUUGGCCCAUGGUGAAACAUGUUGACUUUCAGACUGUUGUUCCAGAUAUAACCAAUAAACUUGACUUCAGUCAA